CCUACGGGAGGCAGCAGUGGGGGAUAUUGCACAAUGGGGGAAACCCUGAUGCAGCGACGCCGCGUGGGUGAAGAAGUAUUUCGGUAUGUAAAGCCCUAUCAGCAGGGAAGAAAGAAGACGGUACCUGACUAAGAAGCCCCGGCUAACUACGUGCCAGCAGCCGCGGUAAUACGUAGGGGGCGAGCGUUAUCCGGAUUCACUGGGUGUAAAGGGAGCGUAGACGGCCGUGCAAGCCAGGAGUGAAAGCCCGGGGCCCAACCCCGGGACUGCUCUUGGAACUGUGCGGCUGGAGUGCGGGGGGGGCAGGCGGAAUUCCUGGUGUAGCGGUGAAAUGCGUAGAUAUCAGGAGGAACACCGGCGGCGAAGGCGGCCUGCUGGACCGCGACUGACGUUGAGGCUCGAAAGCGUGGGGAGCGAACAGGAUUAGAUACCCUUGUAGUC
rnacentral:rRNA from 1 species